CCUACGGGUGGCAGCAGUAGGGAAUUUUCGGCAAUGGGGGGAACCCUGACCGAGCAACGCCGCGUGAACGAAGAAGUUAUUCGUAAUGUAAAGUUCUUUUAACAGGGAAGAAAGAGAAAUUUGACGGUACCUGAAGAAUAAGCUCCGGCUAACUACGUGCCAGCAGCCGCGGUCAUACGUAGGGAGUGAGCGUUAUCCCGAAUUAUUGGGCGUAAAGGGUGCGUAGAUGGCAUAGUAAGUCUUUUGUAAAAAGGCUGGGCUCAACCCAGUAGGGCAAAAGAUACUGCAAAGCUAGAGUAUGACAGAGGCAAGUGGAACUACAUGUGUAGCGGUAAAAUGCGUAAAUAUAUGUAAGAACACCAGUGGCGAAGGCGGCUUGCUGGGUCGAUACUGACAUUGAGGCACGAAAGCGUGGGGAGCAAACAGGAUUAGAUACCCGUGUAGUC
rnacentral:rRNA from 1 species